rnacentral:rRNA from 1 species
GGAAAAUGGGGGGGCGCGCCUACACAUGCAAGUCGAGCGGAAACGAGUUAACUGAACCUUCGGGGAACGUUAACGGCGUCGAGCGGCGGACGGGUGAGUAAUGCCUGGGAAAUUGCCCUGAUGUGGGGGAUAACCAUUGGAAACGAUGGCUAAUACCGCAUGAUAGCUUCGGCUCAAAGAGGGGGACCUUCGGGCCUCUCGCGUCAGGAUAUGCCCAGGUGGGAUUAGCUAGUUGGUGAGGUAAUGGCUCACCAAGGCGACGAUCCCUAGCUGGUCUGAGAGGAUGAUCAGCCACACUGGAACUGAGACACGGUCCAGACUCCUACGGGAGGCAGCAGUGGGGAAUAUUGCACAAUGGGCGCAAGCCUGAUGCAGCCAUGCCGCGUGUAUGAAGAAGGCCUUCGGGUUGUAAAGUACUUUCAGCAGUGAGGAAGGUGGGUAUGUUAAUAGCAUAUUCAUUUGACGUUAGCUGCAGAAGAAGCACCGGCUAACUCCGUGCCAGCAGCCGCGGUAAUACGGAGGGUGCGAGCGUUAAUCGGAAUUACUGGGCGUAAAGCGCAUGCAGGUGGUUUGUUAAGUCAGAUGUGAAAGCCCGGGGCUCAACCUCGGAAUUGCAUUUGAAACUGGCAAACUAGAGUACUGUAGAGGGGGGUAGAAUUUCAGGUGUAGCGGUGAAAUGCGUAGAGAUCUGAAGGAAUACCGGUGGCGAAGGCGGCCCCCUGGACAGAUACUGACACUCAGAUGCGAAAGCGUGGGGAGCAAACAGGAUUAGAUACCCUGGUAGUCCACGCCGUAAACGAUGUCUACUUGGAGGUUGUGGCCUUGAGCCGUGGCUUUCGGAGCUAACGCGUUAAGUAGACCGCCUGGGGAGUACGGUCGCAAGAUUAAAACUCAAAUGAAUUGACGGGGGCCCGCACAAGCGGUGGAGCAUGUGGUUUAAUUCGAUGCAACGCGAAGAACCUUACCUACUCUUGACAUCUACAGAAGCCAGCGGAGACGCAGGUGUGCCUUCGGGAACUGUAAGACAGGUGCUGCAUGGCUGUCGUCAGCUCGUGUUGUGAAAUGUUGGGUUAAGUCCCGCAACGAGCGCAACCC